GAUGAACGCUGGCGGCGUGCCUAAUACAUGCAAGUCGAGCGAACAGACGAGGCGCUUGCUCCUCUGACGUUAGCGGCGGACGGGUGAGUAACACGUGGAUAACCUACCUAUAAGACUGGGAUAACUUCGGGACACCGGAGCUAAUACCGGAUAAUAUAUUGAACCGCAUGGUUCAAUAGUGAAAGACGGUUUUGCUGUCACUUAUAGAUGGAUCCGCGCCGCAUUAGCUAGUUGGUAAGGUAACGGCUUACCAAGGCAACGAUGCGUAGCCGACCUGAGAGGGUGAUCGGCCACACUGGAACUGAGACACGGUCCAGACUCCUACGGGAGGCAGCAGUAGGGAAUCUUCCGCAAUGGGCGAAAGCUUGACGGAGCAACGCCGCGUGAGUGAUGAAGGUCUUCGGAUCGUAAAACUCUGUUAUUAGGGAAGAACAAAUGUGUAAGUAACUAUGCACGUCUUGACGGUACCUAAUCAGAAAGCCACGGCUAACUACGUG
rnacentral:rRNA from 1 species